rnacentral:rRNA from 1 species
GAUAAACGCUAGCGGCAGGCUUAACACGUGCAAGUCGAGGGGCAGCAUAGAUUGUAGCAAUACAAUUGGUGGCGACCGGCGCACGGGUGCGUAACGCGUAUGCAACCUACCCGUCACAGGGGGAUAAUCUGGAGAAAUCUGGUCUAAUACCCCAUAACAUAUGGAUCGGCAUAGGUUCAUGUUGAAAUUUUCGGAGGUGACGGAUGGGCAUGCGUAGCAUUAGCUUGUUGGUGAGGUAACGGCUCACCAAGGCGACGAUGCUUAGGGGGACUGAGAGGUUUUCCCCCCACACUGGUACUGAGACACGGACCAGACUCCUACGGGAGGCAGCAGUGAGGAAUAUUGGUCAAUGGGCGCAAGCCUGAACCAGCCAUGCCGCGUGCAGGAUGACGGCUCUAUGAGUUGUAAACUGCUUUUGUACGAGGGUAAAGUGGGUUACGUGUAACCUUUUGAAAGUAUCGUACGAAUAAGGAUCGGCUAACUCCGUGCCAGCCGCCGCCGUAA